UCCUACCCCGAAUUCAGUUUUGUUGCCACGUCUUUGUAUUUACAGGAGCAGAUGCAGAUCUUUUCUAUCUACCACGUGACAGAUGCUGAAAUGUCAUGAUUUGCCUCACCUUAUCCACUGCUAAGAAGCUCCACUUAGGAAACCAUUCCUCGGGAUCCAAGCUUCAAGAUAGUUCGCUACAUCGAAUGGCCUCUUUGUGAUGGAGUAAGGCCAUCACUGACAUCUGCUCGGCACAAGGCCUUAACCAUACAGCCAUCAUCACCUGAAGAUGCUAACACCGUUCCUGUUAUAUUCCAACUCACUCGCCAAACCUGAGAAUUAUGAUUAUCAAACUGAGCCACUAUAUGGAUUUCAAAUUUUGUUGGCCCACCAGAGGAAAAACACUACAGGCCAGAAGGAAAUGGCAUGAAGAAGUCAAAGUAAUGAAAAGCAAAAAUGUGGAACCAAAACUCCUCUAGCCACCAAGGCUAUCAUUCAAAUUGAAGACACCUGACGGAUUAUACAACUAUCAGCAUGAAAGGGAUGGAAGACAUUAAAAAACCGAGGUUUGACUAUACAAUCAAGUCUUGUUAUUCAAGG